rnacentral:sRNA from 1 species
AAUUUCCAGUGUCUCAAUAAUCAAACACGCAUGCUACCUUCAUCUCUUCUUGGUUGUAGGAAGGUUGUGCUUGGAGAAAACCAGAUGUUGUUGAGAAGAUUCCUUUGGAGCAAGAGCUGGAGGUUACUGAUGUUGUGGAGUAGUCUUCUUAGGAAUUUCCUGAUUGAACACUUGUAGUGUUCAAUCCUUUCAACUGUUAAGUUUAAAUUCCCGUUUAUUUUAUUUCUGGAUGACUGUAAUUUCACAAUUAAUUACACGUCAUACUCCGACUGUUCUCUAUAUUGGUACGUUGACG